UACGUAGGGUGCGAGCGUUGCCCGGAUUUAUUGGGCGUAAAGGGCGCGCAGGCGGCCCCGGCGCGUCCGCGGUGAAAGCUCCCGGCUCAACUGGGAGAGGUCCGCGGAAACGGUCGGGCUCGAGCAAGGCAGGGGGUCGUGGAAUUCCCGGUGUAGUGGUGGAAUGCGUAGAGAUCGGGAGGAACACCAGUGGCGAAGGCGGCGACCUGGACCUAUGCUGACGCUGAGGCGCGAAAGCGUGGGGAGCGAGUCCGG
rnacentral:rRNA from 1 species